rnacentral:lncRNA from 1 species
UUGGUCUUGGUUUCUGGAACCCCCUGACGAGCACAAUGCUCAGCACUGCCCCAAAUUCAUGUUCUCACCACACAAGCACAGCAGACAGGCAGCACCUGGCCACCAACUGCCCCUGAUGUCUCUUGGGCCAGGGAAAGGGGUCUGUCUAGGUUGCGGGGUCAUGGGCAACUGCUGCCCAGAUCGCAGCUGUGGCUCAGCUGCAGCAUGUGGGGGUCUGAGGAUCCCUCCCCUGACUUGACCCCAUGUCAGUUCAGGCUGCUAUAACAGAAUACCAUAAACUGGGUGGCUAAUAAAGAAUAGAAAUUUAUUUCUAUUCUACAGUUUUUUCUACAGAAAUUUAUUUCUAUUCUGCAGUUCUGGAGGCUGAGAAGACCAAGAUCAAGGUGCCAGCAAAUUGGGUGUCUGUGCUGAAUAAUAUUCCACUGUCUGGAUGUACCACAGUUUGUUUAUUCAUUCACCUACUGGAAGACAUCAUGGAUGCUUCAAAGUUUUAGCAAUUCUGAAUAAAGCUGCUAUAAAUAUUUGUGUACACGUUUUUAUGUGGACAUAAGUUUUCAACUCCUUUGGGUACAUACCAAGGAGUGUGAUUGCUAGAUUGUACAGUAAGAGUAUGUUUCCUUUUUUAAGAAACCACCAACUGUCUUCCAAUGUUUCAAUGCUACACCAUUUUGCAUUCCCACCAGCAGUGAAUGAGAAUUCCUGUUGUCCCACACCUUCACCAACAUUCGGUUUCGUCAGUGUUGGGAUUUUGGCCAUUCUAAUAGGUGUGUAGUGGUACCUCAUUGUUUUAAUUUGCAUUUCCCUGAUAAGAUAUGAUGUGGAGCAUCUUUUCAUAUGCUUAUUUGCCACCUGUAUAUCUUCUUUGAUAAGGGAUCACUGAUAGGUAUCCUUAACUCAUUUUUCAAUUGAGUUGUUUGUUUUCUUACAAGUGAAUUUUAAGACUUCUUUGUAUAUUAUGGAUAACAGACUUUUAUCAGAUGUAUUUUUUGCAAAUAGUUUUGCCGAGUCUUGGCUUGUCUUCUCAUUCUCCUGACAUUGUCUUUUACAGAGCAGAAGCUUUUAAUUUUAAUGAAGUCCAGUUUAUCAAUUACUUCCUUCAUGGAUUGUGCCUUUGGUACUGUGUCUAAGAAGUCAUCACCAUGUCCAAUGUCAUCUAGGUUUUCCCCUAUGUUAUCUUCUAGGGGUUUUAUCGUUUUGAGUUUUAAAUUUAGGACAAUAACUCAAAAAAUUAAUUUUGAGUUAAUUUUUGUGAAGGGUGUAAGAUCUAUGUCUAGAUUCAUUUUCUUCCAUAUGGAUGUCAUCCAGUUGUUCCAGCGCAAAUUGUUGAAAAGACUAUCUUUGCUCCAUUGCAUUGCUAUUUGUCAAAGAUUGGUAGUCUAUAUUUAUGUGUGUGUAUUGUGGGCUCUCUAUUCUGUUACAGUGAUUAUUUGUCUGUUCUUUCACAAGUACUACACUGCCUUGAUUACUGUAGCUUUACCAUAAGUCUUGAAGUUGGGUAGUGUCAUUUCUCCAAAUCUGUUCUUCUCCCUCAAU